GUGCCUAUAGAAACUAAUUAAAUCAACCAGCCAAGGUCUCCUAGCCUGAGCAUGUCAGGUGCCUAUAGAAACUAAUUAAAUCAACCAGCCAAGGUCUCCUAGCCUGAGCAUGUCAGGUGCCUAUAGAAACUAAUUAAAUCAACCAGCCAAGGUCUCCUAGCCUGAGCAUGUCAGGUGCCUAUAGAAACUAAUUAAAUCAACCAGCCAAGGUCUCCUAGCCUGAGCAUGUCAGGUGCCUAUAGAAACUAAUUAAAUCAACCAGCCAAGGUCUCCUAGCCUGAGCAUGUCAGGUGCCUAUAGAAACUAAUUAAAUCAACCAGCCAAGGUCUCCUAGCCUGAGCAUGUCAGGUGCCUAUAGAAACUAAUUAAAUCAACCAGCCAAGGUCUCCUAGCCUGAGCAUGUCAGGUGCCUAUAGAAACUAAUUAAAUCAACCAGCCAAGGUCUCCUAGCCUGAGCAUGUCAG